rnacentral:rRNA from 1 species
GUCUACGGCCAUACCACCCUGAACGUGCCCGAUCUCAUCUGAUCUCGGAAGCUAAGCAGGGUCGGGCCUGGUUAGUACUUGGAUGGGAGAAUAUUUGAGAAAGAAGAAAUACAUGGCUC